AAGAUGAAAGGAACAAUCAGCAG
rnacentral:piRNA from 1 species